UUGUCGGGCACUGGAGUUCUAUUGUCGGGUAUUUUUUAAAAUAAUAUUAAAAAAAAGGAGUUCUUCUGUCUUUUGAGUUCUACGGUCGCCAAACCAAAGUUAAAUUGCGUUUUGGAAUUGGGGUGUCAGAGGUGUCCAAUAGAUGGCAUAGGCGUCGUCGUUUUCAUGUGAUGGCCGAUUGUUGUGUUGAGUGGUUGUCAAAAGUUUUCCUAUUUUUCCAUGAAAAUUACCGAUGAAUUCAUAAGUAAAUUCAAGUUUGUUUCUGUGCAACUUGUUUGUGAUGUGAUUUAUUCUGUUUGUGUGCUGGAUCAAAUUCAAAAUUCCUCAAUCUAACCUGUAGGAAGGAACGGGAAAGGAAACAGUGCAUACAAAGUAGCCUACCAUCACUAUACCAACUCUUUUAUUAAAAAUCGUCGUUCUGCUGAAUGCAUCAUGCAGUUAAUACAGGUAAAAACCAAUAAUGUCUUAGUCACAAUUUUUUUAAAUACUUGUUCCCAGACUUAGUUAAUAUUCGUCUAAUUAUCAGCAGUUUCUAUUGAUCUUUGUAGGUCACUACCCCAGUGUGGACAUGUUUGUUUUUCUGAACAUGUUUUUCAACAAAUAAUUCAUUGACAUGCAAGGAAAGCUUAAAGCUUAUUCAUGGGUAAUCUUCAGGUUAGCAGCAGCAGCUUAAGAGAAGAAUGUGAACAAAUGCAGGGCACAUACCAACAUGUGCUGUAUUUUUCUGAAUGUUAAGCAUGAGCAGUAGAUUCAACAUGACUAACUGUUUCAUGCCAAAGUUAGUUGGAACUCAACUCACUG